GCCUUGUUAGCGCAGUAGGCAGCGCGUCAGUCUCAUAAUCUGAAGAUCGUGAGUUCGAUCCUCACACGAGGCA
rnacentral:tRNA from 1 species